GCUUGUCUCAAAGAUUAAGCCAUGCAUGUCUAAGUAUAAACGACUUUAUACUGUGAAACUGCGAAUGGCUCAUUAAAUCAGCUAUUGUUUAUUUGAUAGUACCUCACUACUUGGAUAACCGUAGUAAUUCUAGAGCUAAUACAUGCGAAAAGACGCGACUCACGAAGCGUUGUAUUUAUUAGAUACAAAACCAAUGCGGAGCAAUCCGGUUUAUGGUGAUUCAUAAUAACUUUUGCGGAUCGCAUGGCCUUGCGCCGGCGAUGAAUCAUUCAAAUUUCUGCCCUAUCAACUUUCGAUGGUAAGGUAUUGGCCUACCAUGGUUACCACGGGUAACGGGGAAUUAGGGUUCGGUUCCGGAGAGGGCGCCUGAGAAAUGGCGACCACAUCCAAGGAAGGCAGCAGG
rnacentral:rRNA from 1 species